UACGAAGGGGGCUAGCGUUGUCCGGAAUCACUGGGCGUAAAGGGCGCGUAGGCGGUCUGCUAAGCGUGUGGUGAAAGCUCGGGGCUCAACCCCGAGUCUGCCAUGCGAACUGGUGGACUGGAGCACUGUAGAGGCAGGUGGAAUUCCGGGUGUAGCGGUGGAAUGCGUAGAGAUCCGGAAGAACACCAGUGGCGAAGGCGGCCUGCUGGGCAGUUGCUGACGCUGAUGCGCGACAGCGGUGGGGGAGCAAACAGG
rnacentral:rRNA from 1 species